UACGGAGGGUGCAAGCGUUACUCGGAAUCACUGGGCGUAAAGCGCGCGCAGGCGGUCUUUUAAGUUGGAUGUGAAAGCCUACGGCUCAACCGUAGAACUGCAUCCAAAACUAGUAGACUAGAGUGUGGGAGAGGAAGAUGGAAUUAGUUGUGUAGGGGUAAAAUCCGUAGAGAUAACUAGGAAUACCAAAAGCGAAGGCAAUCUUCUGGAACACUACUGACGCUGAGGCGCGAAAGCGUGGGGAGCAAACAGGAUUAGAAACCCCAGUGUCC
rnacentral:rRNA from 1 species